rnacentral:rRNA from 1 species
UGCUUCACACAUGCAAGUCGAACGAGGUUCUUCGGAACCUAGUGGCGGACGGGUGAGUAACACGUGAGAAUCUGGCUUCAGGACGGGGACAACAAGGGGAAACCCUUGCUAAUACCGGAUAUGCCGAAAGGUGAAAGAUUUAUCGCCUGAAGAUGAGCUCGCGACUGAUUAGCUAGUUGGAGGGGUAAGAGCCCACCAAGGCAACGAUCAGUAGCUGGUCUGAGAGGAUGAUCAGCCCCACUGGGACUGAGACACGGCCCAGACUCCUACGGGAGGCAGCAGUGGGGAAUUUUCCGCAAUGGGCGCAAGCCUGACGGAGCAAUACCGCGUGCGGGAGGAAGGCCCUUGGGUCGUAAACCGCUUUUGUUAGGGAAGAAAAUUUGACGGUACCUAACGAAUAAGCCUCGGCUAACUCCGUGCCAGCAGCCGCGGUAAGACCGAUGAGGCAAGCGUUAUCCGGAAUUAUUGGGCGUAAAGCGUCCGCAGGUGGCAUCUCAAGUCUGCUGUCCCGCCCACGGCUCACUCUGGAUCGGCAGUGGAAACUGAGACGCUAAAAUACGGUAGGGGCAGAGGGAACUCCCAGUGUAGCGGUGAAAUGCGUAGAUAUUGUGAAGAACCCCCUAGCGAAAGCGCUCUGCUGAGCCCGUAACUGACACUCAUGGACGAAGCUAAGGGAGCGAAAGGGAUUAUAUACCCCUGUAGUCCUAACCGUAACGAUGGACACUAGGAGUUGCGCGUAUCGACCGUGCAAUGCCGUAACCAACCCGUUAAGUGUCCCGCCCU